GACGAACGCUGGCGGCGUGCUUAACACAUGCAAGUCGAACGGAAAGGCCCUGCUUUUGUGGGGUGCUCGAGUGGCGAACGGGUGAGUAACACGUGAGUAACCUGCCCUUGACUUUGGGAUAACUUCAGGAAACUGGGGCUAAUACCGGAUAGGAGCUCCUGCUGCAUGGUGGGGGUUGGAAAGUUUCGGCGGUUGGGGAUGGACUCGCGGCUUAUCAGCUUGUUGGUGGGGUAGUGGCUUACCAAGGCUUUGACGGGUAGCCGGCCUGAGAGGGUGACCGGCCACAUGGGGACUGAGAGACGGCCCAGACUCCUACGGGAGGCAGCAGUGGGGAAUAUUGCACAAUGGGCGGAAGCCUGAGGCAGCAACGCCGCGUGCGGGAUGACGGCCUUCGGGUUGUAAACCGCUUUCGCAUGUGACGAAGCGUGAGUGACGGUAAUGGGUAAAGAAGCACCGGCUAACUACGUG
rnacentral:rRNA from 1 species